GGCCCGAAAUCCAGGCCACUUGCUCCCGCCACCCACCAACAACCUUGCCGCGGCGUUGACGUGUGCCUCUCUUCGGUCAUGUCGCCUAGCUGUUCUAGGUUGUGAGUCCUUCUUGAUGUCACCUUUUUGUCUGCUUCCUCAUCCCUCAUGCGUGCUCUCUUUCUCUAUCUGGAUUUUUUUUAACUUUGAUGAAGACAGUGGGUACAUGAUCAAGCAAAUGAUCUUGAUAAGGAUAGACAAAGUCUAGAAGAAUUGUAUACACUCUUGAAGUUUUGAUACAGGAACUAAUAAAGGACAACGACCUAGAAUGCACAGUUACUCCACAUGCAAAUGUUAGAAUGGAACCAUUAAAAUGCAUAAUUUCAACGGAAAGAAAAAAUGCAUAAUUUCAAGUUCACCAUUGUUUUCAGAGAACAAAUAUAUGAUACACAGGCAAUAUGCUAUGUUAUUUUUUCAUUCUUGUCUCACUUAAUGGAUCGUCUCUUUCAUUUAAAUCCAACAAUUGUUGCAUAAUCAGUAUAAAAUGAUGGUAAUCCUUCACAGAAGAAGAUGAUAGUUUCACAAUGGAUAACUCUUGAUUUGUGAGACUUUAUUCCACCUAAAAUAUAGGUAAAGAAAUAAGCUCCACAUCAAACUUCAAAAAUCAAACAAACAAGUUCCAAAUCAAUGAUAGUCUUUUUUGGCUGCCUCAAUUAUCUUGUCACAUGAUGCUUCAUACCAUAGAUAAACAUGACCCGAAUUCAACUCCGCAAUAUCUUUAUAAUACCACCUUCUUGUGCAUCCAACCUUGUUAUCACAGUCUUCCAAGCACCAUCGACAUACUAUUUGAUGAUAUUCAUACUUGCCAUUCGAGUGAAAGGGUAAAAGAAGAACACAGAGGAUCAAGCUGUGAAGGCAAACGCAGUUCCUUAUCGACAAAUGCUCAAGGCGUGAAAGAUCGAUGCUUGAUAUUGUGGGGGAUUUCAAACAAGUUAAAACAACCAUUCAAAAUCAGCUUUUUUGUUUUUGGUUCAAUAAAACUGGUAUUUAAUUAAAGUUUGCGUUGUUAAUUGUUGGUUUGAGUUAGUUGGAUGGCUAGGAAUGUAUCCUUAUCUUGCUCCAUCGUUGUGGCGUUUAUGUAGUAUGUUCAAUGCACCUCUGAAGAAGGUUACAACAAAUUCAACAAUCAACUCAUGAUGAUGGAAUAAAUAAUUGAAGGGUUGAACAAGAGGCAUGCAUUCUACUU